AGCAGCCGCGGUAAUUCCAGCUCCAAUAGCGUAUAUUAAAGUUGUUGCAGUUAAAAAGCUCGUAGUUGAAUUUCGGGGUCAGUAGGUUGGUCAUGCCUUCGGUAUGUACUGGUCUCACUGAUUCCUCCCUCUUGAAGAACUGUAAUGUCAUUAAUUUGGUGUUGCGGGGAAACAGGACUGUUACUUUGAAAAAAUUAGAGUGUUUAAAGCAGGCUCACGCUUGAAUACAUUAGCAUGGAAUAAUGAAAUAGGACGUUCGAUCCUAUUUUGUUGGUUUCUAGGAUUGACGUAAUGAUUAAUAGGGAUAGUUGGGGGCAUUAGUAUUCAAUUGUCAGAGGUGAAAUUCUUGGAUUUAUUGAAGACUAACUACUGCGAAAGCAUUUGCCAAGGAUGUUUUCAUUAAUCAAGAACGAAAGUUAGGGGAUCGAAGACGAUCAGAUACCGUCGUAGUCUUAACCAUAAACUAUGCCGACUAGGGAUCGGAUGAUGUUAAUUUUUUAAUGACUCAUUCGGCGCCUUACG
rnacentral:rRNA from 1 species